UACGUAGGGGGCUAGCGUUAUCCGGAAUUACUGGGCGUAAAGGGUGCGUAGGUGGUUUCUUAAGUCAGAGGUGAAAGGCUACGGCUCAACCGUAGUAAGCCUUUGGAACUGUAAGACUUGAGUGCAGGAGAGGAGAGUGGAAUUCCUAGUGUAGCGGUGAAAUGCGUAGAUAUUAGGAGGAACACCAGUAGCGAAGGCGGCUCUCUGGACUGUAACUGACGCUGAGGCACGAAAGCGUGGGGAGCAAACAGGAUUAGAUACCCCUGUAGUCCCUGA
rnacentral:rRNA from 1 species